GUUGAGCCGGCCGCGCAGCCCCUUGUUCGGCCACCUGAGCCUGAGUGGCCCUCCUAGGACAAUCCUUAAUCCUAUGCUACUUAGACCCACAACGAAGACAAGCCCCAGAACGCUUCCAGCACUCUCCUUGAUGCAUUCUGCCGUAAUCCCCAUAACCUUGCGGUCUACCUGUGUUCACCGGAACUGCUCAAACCGGUUCCUC
rnacentral:lncRNA from 1 species